rnacentral:rRNA from 1 species
AUUGAACGCUGGCGGCAGGCUUAACACAUGCAAGUCGAACGGCAGCACGGGAGCAAUCCUGGUGGCGAGUGGCGAACGGGUGAGUAAAGUAUCGGAACGUGCCCAGUCGUGGGGGAUAACGUAGCGAAAGUUACGCUAAUACCGCAUACGAUCUACGGAUGAAAGCGGGGGAUCGCAAGACCUCGCGCGAUUGGAGCGGCUGAUAUCAGAUUAGGUAGUUGGUGGGGUAAAGGCUCACCAAGCCGACGAUCUGUAGCUGGUCUGAGAGGACGACCAGCCACACUGGGACUGAGACACGGCCCAGACUCCUACGGGAGGCAGCAGUGGGGAAUUUUGGACAAUGGGCGCAAGCCUGAUUCAGCCAUGCCGCGUGCAGGAUGAAGGCCUUCGGGUUGUAAACUGCUUUUGUACGGAACGAAAAGGUUUGGCCUAAUAAGCUGGACCCAUGACGGUACCGUAAGAAUAAGCACCGGCUAACUACGUGCCAGCAGCCGCCGUAA